rnacentral:lncRNA from 10 species
AGGUGUGGUAAUGGUGUUGUGAGAGAGAAUACUCUUACUCUUGAAAGGAGUGCCAAAUGAAGUAUUAAGAGGUGAAAUUUCAUGACAUUGGUACACUACUUUCAGAAGGCUGGGCCAAAAAGAAGAACCUAUCCACAGAGACAUGUUGUUAACACAUAUUCACUGCACCAUUCCUUCAAGUUUUUGAAGCAAUUUUUUUCCUCAGCUCUCAUGGGAGAUCAGAUUUCCAACCCCUCUUUGCAGUGGUUUUGGCUGCUCCUCUCACACUGAAAGCACAGGGGCCUUGGUCCUUCCAUUGAUUCAUAAGUACAACACCCUACUUCUUGGAUACAGAGCCAUCGCGGAAUGUUCGCUGGAGUGAGGCAGCGUAUGGAGCACAUGGGACAUGCAGACCCAGAUGGACAUCUUACAAACUUUCAGAGGAGCUGAAGCCAGAUUACUGUCUCAUCCUCCUCUGCAAAUCCAACAGAAAGGACACAGUAGAGUGGGCAAGAAUGCAAAGAAGGUCUGUGGUUUGGAACUGGCCCAAGCCGAACUAAACUUUUCUAAAUAUACAUUAAACUGUCAACAAAGAGCACCGUGACCCACAGCCUGAAUAAAGGGAGAGCCCCAAGGCCCUCUGAAGCCACUAGUUCUGUGAGUUGUUUUAGGGAGAAGACAGACAACCAAGAAUUAUUUACCUUAUUAGACUGUGCCCAUCCAAGCCCAGGUAAAACUUUUUGAUCAGCAGAAAACUGGAAUUAUUUCCCUUUCUCUAUCCUGGAUUGAGUGUGAAUUCCCCAGAGAAACUUGGCUUUGAGAGCACUAGCUGGACAUAUAGGGGUCCAUUUCCAAUCUGCUCUGAGAAGGGCCCUGUCUUCAUCCUAAAGGAAGGCUUUAGAAAACUGUUAUCUAAGAUCUAGGAUUGAAGAUGGUGAGAACCUGAGGCUGAGCAAUUGGCCCCAAUUCUUCCUGAAGCAUUAUCUGAGAGAGAGAGCCUAGCCUGUGGUUUUUGACCCCUGGCAGAAGGGUGGAGAGAGGGAAGAAGAAAGAAGGAAGAUGAAGACAACUUCCUGCUCAAGACCAACCCAUCUCCCCUCAUUCUGGGGUGACCAAUUGAGAAAACAAUGAUAUCUCCCUUACUCUCAUCUGUUUCCAAAGGCUUUGCUUCAUCUACCAAAAAACCGUGUGAGUGAGAACCAUCUACCCUCAUGUGCUUAUUAAGCUCUUAGAGUCAUUCUCUGGUGACUAUAUUGAUUCAUUUAUUUGUACUCUAGGAACAUAAAACAAUAUGGCAUUAUUGACACAGAAAACAAAGAAUAGACAGAUAGCAUACAGCUGAACAACUUUAAUUACCAGGGUUCCAGUGUCUGUUUAACUAGCUGUGUAAAUAUGAGUAUUUGAAUUAAUUUUUCUAGGAUCAAUUUCCUUACUUCUAAAUGAGAAAGACGAGGCCAAAAGUUCUUAACCUUACUUCUGGCUUUACAACUGAAUGGUUCUCUGUUCCUAAUAAUGAGUUCCUUUUUUUUUUUUUUUUCUGAGACGAAGUCUCGCUCUGUCACCAGGCUGGAGUGCAGUGGCACAAUCUUGCUCACUGCAACCUCUGCCUCCCGGGUUCAAGCAAUUCUCCUGCCUCAGCCUCACGAGUAGCUGGGACUACACGCGCCUGCCACCAUACCCAGCUAAUUUUUGUAUUUUUAGUAGAGACAGGGUUUCACCAUGUUGGCCAGGAUGGUCUUGAUCUCUUGACCUCGUGAUCCGCCGGCCUCGGCCUCCCAAAGUGCUGAGAUUACAGGCGUGAGCCACCGCGCCUGGCCCUAAUAAUGAGUUCUUAUGAAUGGUAUAUGUACGCCAAAUAGAAAGCAUGCUAAUAGCUAAGAAGGAAUCGUGAAGGAUAAUGAGAAUUUGCUGCCUUUUCUAGUCAUUCUAGAGGAAUUUAUAAAUAAAUAAAAUGGUUUGAUAUGUAAGAAUAUCUGCUGAGCCAAACAGUGCACACUUCUUAGACAUAAGUUGUAGCCAAGGCAAUAAAGCUUAAGGAUGGAAUAGAAGCAUUAAGGAAAAUUUUCCUAGAAAGGAAAAAAAUGGAGGCAGAAAGGGUGGGAAAGGCAGACAGAAGUCAACUCAUAGGAAGCAGAGAGAUAAAGAGCUUUGAAAUAUAAUGUGAGGACCUAGACAUAUUUGAGAAGAGAGGUACUGGUCAAAACAAAGGACAGAGAUGGCAGAAGCCCACAGGAAACUUAUGGCCAAUGGUAGCAGUCAGUGAGGAUGAGUAGGGUAGUAAUAAUAUAUUAUAACUAAUUACUGCCAUUUAUUGAUCACUUACUAAGUAUUAAAAUUAUUUGUUAGGAAAUUUAUAAAUACCUUGUCUCCUUUCUAGAACUCUCUCCAAAGGAUAUGGUCAUAUUCAUCAUAUAGAUAAGUAAACUAAGGCUCAGGAAAAAUGACUUCCUCAAGGGCAAACCCAGGUCUGUCUGUGCUAUUUUUACUAUACCGUUGCUAUUUGUCCAUGAACAGGAAAAACCCUCAACUAGGGCCUUGAGCAAUCAAGAAUUAUUGGAAGGAAAAAUCGUUACAGGUAACCACUGAUAAAUCAGAUGGAACAAUCACUUUUUGAGCAAAGGGAUUGUGUCCUCUUUAUCUGCGUGUUCCCUGCAUUUAGCCCAGGGUCUAGCAACUUGUGAUAGACAAAGAUGUGUUAGAUCCCCCUUCAAAAAAGGACUUGCUGCUCAGCUGCUGGGGUGCAGUCAGCCUCCAGCCUCCAAUCAGCUCUGUAAGAGCUGGCCUCAGCUGUAAAUAAAAACUGCUUCAUUUCAGGUCAUGCUGGUAUCCAAUAACUGAGAAAGGAGUUGGGGGUAGGGGCAAAGAGGGGAGAGUGAAGGGGACAAAGGCCUGAAGCUAAUCAGGGACCCCUCUGAUGGCCAAUUCUGACUCCAGAGCUCCCUAUCAAGUGGGCCAAGUUCUUCUCAGCCCUACUCUGGAUAGUGACUUCUCCCUUGGCCCAAUUCUGUCUCUACCCACUCCUUUUCACAGGUGUUGAUCCCUAAUGAAUAUCCGGCACCCCGCAUUCCAUCUCGGUGACUGCUUCCAGAAAACACAAGCUGUGACAUGCCCAUUAUGUACUCAAUAAAUCUUUAAUAAUUGAGUGGAUAGAGUGAUGUGAGUUGAGAAGCAUUAUUAAAGAUUAUUUUCCCAAAAAUAAACAAAAAAAAUGUGCCCAUUGGCUGGUGACUAGAAUUCUACAAUUAGAGGUUUAUUCCUUUGUCUUAAUGCUUCUGCUUUUGUAAAUACCCCCGUAAUAAACGCAUGUUAAGUUUAUUAGACACCUAUUCCCCAGUGUAAACAAAGUCCUGGAAGCACAUUCUAACAGGAAGAGAGAGGGAAAAAAGUAUGAGAGCACCAAUGGACAAACAUCAGGAGCAAGUUACCUGGAUUCAGUCCUGGUUCCACCACUUGCUAGAUCUGUGUCAUUAGACCAAUCAAUUGACCUCUCUGUGCCUCCGUUUUUGUUCCUGUAAAAUGGGAACAAUAACUGUAACUACUUCCAAGUAUUGUUAUGAAAAUUGAAUGAGUUAAAAUAUAAAAAUGUUAGAGACUAGGGAAUAUGAGACUAGUCAAUGAAUGUCUAGUGGAGACAAGAAAAAGUGAACAAAAUUAUACAAGUGCUAUUAAUAAUACAGUCAGAUUUAUAUAUUUUUUCCAUCACACUGACCUCCAAUCCAGGCUGGGAAAUGGGUUUUUUAAAUCUCUUGCGUGUUUUCCAUCACUUGAACUACCAUAUUGUUUUACAAUUAUUUGUCUUGUGUCUACUGCCACCCUUACCUCACCACUGUGAGAUCCUUAGAGGUAAAAUAUUCUAUCUUAUUCAUCCUUAUAUCCCCUUCCAUUCAUCCAUUUAUUCUUUUUUUCUAACUUUUAAGUUCAUAGGUACAUGUACAGGUUUGUUACAUAGAUAAACUUGUGUCACGUGGAUUUGUUGUACGGAUUAUUUCAUCACCUAGGUAUUAACUCUAGUACCCAUUAGUUAUUUUUCCUGAUCCUCUCCCUCCUCCCACUCACUACCCUCCAGUAGGCCCCAGUGUGCGUCAUUCCCCUCUAUGUGUCCAUGUGUUCUCAUCACUUAGCUCCCACUUGUAAGUGAAAAUAUGUGGUGUUUGGUUUUCUGUUCCUGUGUUAGUUCGGUAAGGAUAAUGACCUCCAGCUCCAUCCAUGUCCCUGCAAAGGACAUGAUAUCAUUCUUUUUUAUGGCUGCAUGGUAUUCCAUGGUGUAUAUGCACCACAUUUUCUUUAUUCAGUCUAUCAUUAAUUCAUAUGUUCAUUCAUUAAAUAAAUAUUA